AGGGGGUGUGCACACAUGGUGGACAUCCCUGUGACAUUAUGAAUAACAUCCCCCUAGGAUGUUACAAAAAAUAUGUGUGUACACCUGCUGUGACAUUAGGAGUAACAUUACCCUAGGAUAUUAUGAACUGUAUCAUAGGGUGAGCACCCCCUGUGACAUCAGGAGUAACAUUCCUCUAGGAUAUUAGGAAGAAUAGCACAGGGUGUACACUCCCUGUGACAUUAGCAGUAACAUUCUCCUAUGAUACUAUGGAUAAUAUCACACGGUGUACAGCCCCUGUGACAUUAUGAGUAACAUUCCCCUAGGAUAUUAUUAAUAAUAUCACCGUGUAUACACCCCCUGUGACAUUGGGAGUAACAUCCCCCUGAAAUAUUUCAAAUAAUAUCUCAUGGUGUGCACCCUCUGUGACAUUCGGAGUAACAUCCCCCUAAGGUAUUUUGAAUAAUAUCAUAGCAUGUACACCCCCUGUGAAAUGAAGACUGACAUCUUUUUAGGAUAUUACGAAUAAUAUCACAAGGUGUACACCCCUGUGACACUAGGAGUAACAUCCCCAUAAGAUAUUAUGAAUGAUAUCACAGGGAGUACACCCCCUGUGACAUUAGGAGUAACACUCCAGUAGGAUACUAUGAAUAAUAUAACAUGGUGUAGACCCAUUGUGACAUUAGUAGUAACAUUCCCCUAGGAGAUUAUGAAUAAUAUCUCAGGGUGUACACCCCCAGUGAUAUUAGGAGUAAUAUCUUUCUAGGAUAUUAUGAAUAAUAUCACAGGGUGUACACUCCUUGUGACAUUAGGAGUAACAUCACCCUAGGAUAUAAUGAAUAAUAUCACAGGGUGUACACAUUAGGAGUAAUAUGCCCCUAGGAUAUUAUGAAUAAUAUCACAGAAUGUACACCCUUGUGAUAUUAGGAUAACAUCCCCCUAGAAUAUUACAAAUAAUACCACAGGAUGUACACCCCCAGAGACAUUAGGAGUAACAUCCCCCUAGGAUAUUACCAAAAUUAUCACAGUGUGUACACCCACUUUGAUAUUAGGAGUAAUAUCUUCCUAGAAUAUUAGAACAAAUAUCACAGGGUGUACACCAACUGUGAUAUUGUGAGUAAAAUCUCCCUUGGAUAUUACGAAUAAUAUAACAGGGUGUACACCAUAUGUGUUUUAAUUAGAAGUGAACACCAUAUGUGUGAUAUUAGAAGUAAUAGUUCUCUAAAAUGUAUGAAAAAUAUAACAGAGUGUACACCCACUCUGAUAAAAUAAGUAAUAACUACCUAGGACACUACAAAUAAUAUCACAGGGUGUAAACACAUGGUUUACACCCAUGGUGAUAUUAGGAAUUAUAUCAUCCUAAAAUAUUAUGAAUAAUAUCACAGGGUGUACACUAUGUACACCCAGGUGGAUAUUUGAAGUUAUAUCUCCUUAGGAUAUUACAAAUAAUAUCACAGGGUGUACAUCCCCUAUGACAUUAAAAGUAACCAACAUCUAGAAAAUUAUGAAUAUAUAUAACAAGGCGUACACCCCCUAUGACAUUAUAAGUAAUAUCACCUAAGAUAUUACAAAUAAUAUCACAGGAAGUACAACCCCUGUGACAUUAGGAGUAACAUCCCCCUAGGAUAUUAUGAAUAAUAUCACAGAGUGUACACCCAUUGUGAUGUUAGGACUAACAUCUGAUGAGGAUAUUUCCAGUAAUAUCACAGGACAUACACCCUCUGUGACAUCAGGGGUAAUAUCCCCCUAUGACAAAAAUAAUAAUAUCACAGAAUGUACACCCCCUGUGACAUUAGGAGUAACAUCCUCCUAGGAUAUUAUGAAUAAUAUCACAGGGUGUACACCCUCAGUGACACUAGGAGUAACGUCACCCUAGAAUAUAACGAAUAUCACAGGGUAUACACCACCUGUGACAUUAGGAAUAACAUUCCCCUAGGAUAUAACAAAUAAAAUCACAGAGUGUACACUCCUUGUGAAAUGAAAAGUAACACCGUCCUAGUAAAUUACGACUAAUAUCACAAGGUGUAUACCCCCUGUGACAUUACGAGUAUCAUCACCCUAGAAAAUUACGAAUAAUAUCACAGGUUAUACCACCUGUGACAUUAGGAGUAACAUUUCCCUAGGAUAUUAAGAAUAAUAUCACAGUGGGUGUACACACACUGUGACAUUAGGCAUAAUAUCCUCCUAGGUUAUCAAGUCAUCACUGUGAUAUUAGGAGUAAUAUUGCCCUAGGAUAUUACAAAUAAUACCACAGAGUUUACACCCACUGUGGUAUUAUAAGUAAUAUCUCCCUAGGAUACUACAAAUAAUACCACAGAGUUUACACCCACUGUGAUAUUAUAAGUAAUAUCUCCCUAGGAUAUUACAAAUAAUAUCACAGGUUGUACACACAGGUUGUAAUACCACUGUGGUAUUAGAAGUAAAAUCCCCCAAAAAUAUUACGAAUAUUAUCACAGGUUGUACACUAUAUGAGUACACCCACUGUGACAUUAAAGUAACAUACCCCUAUAAUUACAUAAAUAAUAUCACAGGGUGUACACACAUGGUGUACACUUACUAUGAAAUUAGGAGUAACAUCCCCCUAGGAUUUUAUGAAUAAUAUCACAGGGUGCACACACAUAGUGUACACUUACUAUGAAAUUAGGAGUAACAUCUCCCUAGGAUUUUACGAAUAAUACCACGGGGUGAACACACAUGGUGUACACCAACUGUGGCAUUAGGAGUAACACCCCCCCAGGGUAUUAUGAAUAAUAUCACAGAUUUUAUACGCCUAGUGUACACCCACUGUGACAUUAGGAAUAACAUCCGCCUAGGUAUUACAAAUAAUAUCACAGGGUGUGCAUACAUGGUGUACACACAUGGUGUACACCCACUCUGACAUUAGUUAUAACAUCCCCCUAGGAUAUUAUGGUUCAUAUCACUAGGAGUACCCACACAUUGUGUACACUCACUGUGACAUUAAGAGUAACAUCCCCCUAUGUUAUUAUGAAUAAUAAUACAGGAUGUAAAAACAUCUUGUACACCCACUGUGACAUUAACAGUCACAUCCCCCAGGAUAUUACAGAUAAUAUCACAUAGUGUAUACCCACGUAACAUCCCCAUAGGAUAUUACGAAUAAUAUUACAGAGUGUAAACACACAGUAUACACCCACUGUGACAUUAGGAGUAACAUUUUUCUAGGAUACUAUGAAUAAUAUCACAGGGUGUAUACACAUGGUGUACACACACUGUGACAUUAGAAAUAAAAUCACCCUAGGGCAUUACAAAUAAUGUGUUAAUAAUUAUUACCAUAAAUAUUAAUCGAUAUUAUUUGUAAUAUCCAAGCAAUAUUAAUAUUACUCUUAAUAUCACAUGGGGUGUACUCCCAUUUAUAUUAUUUGUAAUAUCCUACUGAGAUGUUACACCUAAUGUCACAGUGUACACCUAAUGUCACAGUGUAAUGCUUGCUAUUCAUAGUAUCCUACUGAGGUGUUACUCCUGGUGUCACAGUGGCUGUACACCUUGUGAUAUUAUUGGUAAUAUCGUAGGGAGAUGUUACGCCUAAUGUCAUAGUAGGUGUACACCCUGUGAAUUUAUUAGAAAUAUUCUAGGAAAACGUUAUUCCUAAUUCCAAGGUAGAUAUUACAUAGGAUUGUACACCUCCAGUGAUAUGGCAAGUAAUAUCACCCUCUCCCCCACUGGAUAUCAUGAACCAUAUCACAGGGCAGAUAUUAUCACCCUUUCCCGCCCGGUGACAGAGCAAGAUCCUGUCUCAAAAAAAAAAAUCUGUUAAAAGAUAUAGCAAGUGAUUGAUUUUCCCGGCAAUAAAUAAGAAAGUAAGUGGAAAUUUUCAGAUAAUUGAAAGGUGGUACACACUUUUACAAUUUCCUUUCUAAUAGUGUUUUUAGUAAAAGGAGGAGUGACCAGGAUGCUGUUAUCACCUGAGUUUGUCCCUCCUCUUAGGGCUGGUGGUAUACCAGGAAUCAAAGUGUAGCUGUUUGCUGUUUUUGUCUGCCUGGUAUCUACUUUUCUUGUUUGUUAAUAUCAUUUUUAUUUUCUUUUGAGGAGCUAUUUUUCCCCUAUCUCUUUGGCUCUGGGUCUAGAGACAUGGCCUAGUUUUGGCUGAAGUAAAUACUGUAUCAUCAUCUGGCUAUGGGGAUUGUUUUAAGAACAUGUGACCCAGUCAUACAAGUCAGGUUUGGGAAUUUUGGUGGUAUAAUUGUGAAACAAACACUCCCUGCAAGCCUGCUAAGCUGGAAGAAUAUGUGUGAAGCUGCCAAGGGUCUUCCCUGUUGCUACAUGGAGACAUAGCAGCUUGGCAAUGAAGUCAAUACUAAGGAUAGCAGAGUUUAUGGGGAAGGAGAAUGAGAGAGAAAAUGAUGACACUGUGGCUUUUGAUCCAGCUGUUCUUAAAAGUAAUCAUCCGCGUUGAACUUCCUGGUUUAGAAGGCAGAAGAAAUCAGAGAGAAGGAUGGAGUGGGGAAAAGAAGAGGGAGGCUGACAGAGAAGCUUAAAGAAAUGCUUUCAGAUGGCAACAAAAGCCAAAAUAGACAAAUGGGAUUUAAUUAAACGAAAGAGUUUCUGCACAGCAAAAUAAACUAUCAUCAGCGUGAACAGGCAACCUACCGAAUGGGAGAAAAUUCUCACAAUCUACCCAUUUGACAAAAGGCUAAUAUCCAGAAUCUACAAAGAACUUAAACAAAUUUGAAAGAAAAAAAACAAUCCCAUCAAAAAGUGGGCAAAGGAUAUGAACAGACGCUUCUCAAAAUAAGACAUUUAUGCAGCCAACAGACAUAUGAAAAAAUGCUCAUCAUCACUGGUCAUCAGAGAAAUGCAAAUCAAAACCACAAUGAGAUACCAUCUCACGCCAGUUAGAAUGGCAAUCAUUAAGAAGUCAGGAAACAACAGAUGCUGGAGAGGAUGUGAAGAAAUAGGAACGCUUUUACACUGUUGGUGGGAGUGUGAAUUAGUACAACCAUUGUGGAAGACAGUGUGGUGAUUCCUCAAGGAUCUAGAACUAGAAAUACCAUUUGACCCAGCAAUCCCAUUACUGGGUAUAUACCCAAAGGAUUAUAAGUCACACUACUACAAAGACACAUGCACACGUAUGUUUAUUUUGGCACUAUUCACCAUAGCAAAGACUUGGAGCCAACCCAAACGUCCAUCAAUAAUAGACUGGAUAAAGAAAAUGUGGCACAUAUACACCAUGGAAUACUAUGCAGCCACAAAAAAGGAUGAGUUCAUGUCCUUUGCAGGGACAUGGAUGAAGCUGGAAACCAUCAUUCUCAGCAAAAUACCACGAGGACAGAAAACCAAACACUGCAUGUUCUCACUUAUAAGUGGAAAUUGAACAAUGAGAACACAUGGACACAGACAGGGGAACAUCACAUGUGGGGGCCUGCUCGGGGGUGGGGGGCUUGGGGAGGGAUAGCGUUAGGAGAAAUACCUAAUGUAAAUGAGGAGUUGAUGGGUGCAGCAAACCAACAUGGCACAUGUAUACCUAUGUAACAAAACUGCACGUUGUGCACAUGUAACCUAGAACUUAAAGUAUAACUAAAAAAAAAAAAAAAAAAGAAAGAAAAAUAAAGAGUUGUGCUUCAGAAAAAAAAAAAUGCUUUCAGGAUUGCCUCUUCAGACAUGGUUACAAUACAUAUACUCAGUUUUCUUUAUUAACUGGACCAGAUUAAUCUUCAUUAAACUGACUGAACUAGUAAUCUUUUAAUUUUAUGUCAUCAGACAUAAACAUUUGUCUUUUUUUUCGUUUUGCAUUAGCUUAAAUUGGUUUACCUCUCCUGAUAGUCUCCCUAUACCCUUUUUCUUUGUCCUUUAUACUCCAAGUAAAUCAUAUACCAUAUGUGGGAUCAAAUGGGGAGUAAAGUAUCCUCCAUCCUCCUGUCCUCAUUUGCUGUAAACCGGUGUAAAUUCUUACUUGUGCAUCUACAAUCUGUAUUAUUGGGUAUGUUCUUAAUGUAAUCUUUGUUCAGCUGAUAGUUUAUUUCAAAUUAUGAAAUCUGUUUAUAUCAUUACUUGUUUUUCCUAUGACAUGUAGUUUUUCACAAUAGCAAAGAGUUGAUGUGAUUUUUGUAGAUAUGCUAGAAAAUAAAAACUUUUUAAAUAACAUUUUUCAUAGUUAUUUGUUUGCUUUCAAAUUGCCCAAAGUAUAUUGCCAUGGAAACUUGCCUAUUUAGGAUAUUUCAAACAUAUAUUUUAAAAAUAUUGAAAUGUGGUGGUCAUUAAGAUACUCUCCCAAAACCAUAUCUAAACUCUUCCUUCUUUGGAGAAACAAUGAUUAAUAAUAGGUGUCUAGUGGUACCUACGCAUUCUUCAAAGAACACUAUUUUUGUGAUGAUAUGUGCUGUUCAUGUGGUGUGGAUGUGGC
rnacentral:lncRNA from 10 species